GUGCUCACUUCAGCAGCACAUAUGCUAAAAUUGGAAUGUUACAGAGAACGUUAGCAUGGUCCCUACGCAAGGAUAUAACGUAAAAGACAAAGGAUAGAGAGAAGUCAU